rnacentral:lncRNA from 1 species
UUCAUUAACUGAAUAUGGCAGACAAUCGGCUGCUUUACAAGAUCAAUACAAUUACAGAUGCUUGCUAACCUUGAUGUAUAAACUUGACAUGGAAAGUUGAUAUAUAAACUGAAUAUGAAGGACAUAGAACCUAAUACAUUAACUGCAUAAAUAAGUUAUGGACAUGCAAAAGCUACUUGUGCUCCAAACUCCAAAAGCCAUCAAGUUCUCUCCAAGAUCAUCAGCAAACUAUGAUUUAAAAUCUGCAUCACACAAGAGUACAGCCUUUACACUAAGGUGUAUUAUGAGUAUCAAAGUUGCAAUAAUAUAAGCAUGUCCAAAACAAGUAGAUGUACCUAAGAGAGUAUGAGCUCAACUUUCUACCAAAAACGCGAAGCAUCAUUUGGACAAGUUGACCUGCCUUCAUAAUCUAUGUAGUUUUAACCAUAAUUUCAAUAGGUAUGACUUCAAAUAAUUACAUAUGUUUAACAUGUACCUUGAUCAUGUGCGUGUACAGUCGAUGCAACCUCUCCCAGUUUACUUGGGCCAACCUUUCACCCCCCUCCCGUACCCGAAGUCGGAUGUGACUGCAUAAUAAACAUAACCAUCGGAAAAAAAGUUAUUAAGCUAUUUGAACACCGUAAUACCUUAGACUUACGAAAAGUUGCUUCCAAAGAGCUUUUGUUUCGAAGUUUCUUUAGGGCACCUUUUCUCUUCAAGCACUUUGGAUCCUGUAUACCUUAAGGGCCGAUAUGUUGUGACGUUCCACCAUCGGACGCUGUCUGAAAUACAUGUUGAGACACAUCAUUACUUACGCAACUCGACCUCAUCAUUUUAAAUGAUUGUUUUUUGCAUUCUAUCCACUCUAGUACGUCACGGGUUUGAUCGUCAUUCCUGAUAGCCAUGUCCCCAGGCGAAGCAAAUGAUUGACACAUUUUCUCAUAUCUCAUCUGGGCAGGUGUGCGUCUCAAACCAUCAUAAUUCACAACAACUUUGGUAUGGGCUCUAAUAACAUCUCUUCUCCAUCUCCGUAAUAUAUAGAUAUCCGACAAUGCAGUGACGUUGUUAUGGAUAAGUACAGUGAUCACGUGCCUGCAGAUUAUACCUCGAAACUUGAACAACCGGCAACCGCAAACAAUUUUACAUCGCUAUCUUUCAAAUGUCAAGAAAAACAUUUGUUUCUUAACUCGAUUGUCAAGUAUGAUGUCCUCCAAUACCUCAUAUAUGGUCCCUACACUACCCUCCGACGAAGAAAUGAGGUCGCAAUAAACCUUUCCAAUGAAUUCAUCCUGAACUUUCCGAAAUUUUGAAAUGGUAUAAACUCCCUGGUGUAUGCUGUCGUAGGCACUCCAAAUUAAAAUCUAUAUUUCUUAAAAUUAAUAUAGCAAUGGAAGUAAGGGUCAAUCCCAUAAAGAGCGAUUAAUUUUCUUUUUGAUACAAUAUUAACUAGAAUGGGGUGUUUCAGUUUUCUUGAAAUAAUACAAAUCACCGAAUUAAAUACAAACAAUAAAAUAAGUCUUGAUCUAAGUCAACAUCCACCGUUGGAAAUCAAAAACCGAUCAUUGAUUCACAAAUAAUCAUCAAUUUAUAAUUGUACCAUUCAUUGUGAAAAAUAAAUUUUUUCAUUUGAAACAAUUUUCCUAUUUCUCCUUAGUUUUGAUUAAUUAGAAACAAUCGAUCUAAUUAAUCAUCAUCAUCAAACAAUCCUAGAAAAACGCGAGAAUUUAAUUUAAUAAUGACUUUACAAAUUAGAUAAAUCAAUGAACUAGAUAAUACAAACCAAGCGUUUGCAUUUAACCUAGAUAAAUCUUCUCUCUAAGAUUUAAUAAUUUCCAACCAGCAAAUUAUCAAUCUCAAUUGUUUUAUAAGUUAAACCAAUCAACAAUUAAGUUUUGAAAUUCAACUUAGUUAUAGAUUAUUGAGAUUAAUAAACUAGCGUGCACUCUAGAAUCAAACAAAACAAUCAUAAAAAUAAUUAUAGAAGAAGAUUUAAUACUAAGCAUAUGAAUUAAUCAAUAAAAAUCAGGUGGAUCUCACAAUCAUAAUUGUUCCAAGGCUUCCGUCUCUUUCAAUCAAGCAAAAGAAAUUAGUUACACAUCAUAAAUCUUGAGCACAAAGAGAGAAAAAUAGGGUUGGAGGCGUUCUCUCCGAUUUGGACGAGAUUUGAGGCUUAUAUAUGGUGUACAAAGUUUGUUUCCAUAAGUAUUUGAUUCAAAUUACGAAACUAAAAAUUGUGUGUCGGAAAUGAAUUAUGCGACCGCAUAGUUAUAAGUUUUGUGGUUGCAUAGAACAAUGAUUUGUAGCCCAAAAGUUCUCUGAAGGUCAGAAUGCGACCGCAUUGGUUUAACUCUAUGACCGAAUAAAAUAGCCAUUUUCCCGUCGGACAGCUUUCAGUAUUUUGAUCGUAACUUUCUUUUUGAUGUUCGAUUGAGGUAAUUCAAAGUAUAUUGGAAAACUAACUCAAAGGGCGACAACUUUUAUUCAGAUGUCAUUUUUCAAUUCUAUCGUUUAUUAUGUCAAAAAUGGGUUCCAAUAUGAUGCUGAAAAUCGGUGCAUAACCUUUUCGAUUGGAAAUUAUGUGUGAUUAUACUUUGAUUGUAUUUCAUCCCUUUGACUUCUUUUCUCAUCCACUUGACCUCUAAUACUCUUGAAUCUUCAUCUCAUAGCUCAUCUCAUCUAGGGAUUAUUUGCAACUUGGUCCCUGAGCUUUCAUCUUCUCUUUUCUUGGCGUCUUUUUCUUGUUUUCCUUCUUCCAACACUUUAAGUUUUCCAUCAAUUGAUCUUAAAAUCUUUCACACUUUCGUUUCGCCUUCCGAUUCAACUUUUGGAUAUUUGCAUUUUAGUCCUUAAACUUUUGAUUUCUUUCACUUAGGUCAUUUUUCACUCUUUCCUUCUAUUUUAUGCCAUGAUCAUCCAAAUGCAACCUAAAUCGCAAUAUAAGGAUACUUAGCAUAUUUAGGUGUUAAUUAGUCAUAAAAAUGAAAGAAUUAAUGGAUGUAAAUCACGACAUUUCAUGUCUUAUCACUCCCUAGAAUUGCUUCUCCAACUCGAAUUUCGUUGCACAUGGUACCAUCUGCGAGAAUGAUUUAAAAUUUGCUUGUCUCAUUCUUUAACUUACUCCUCAAUGCUCUCAUAUUGUUCGACAAAUUAUUUUAGUGGUGUUUUCGAGUGCACAUAACUAUCGAAGAACGCAUUCAUAUUCCCACUACGCUGGGUUGUUGACAUUCCCGUCCAGAAGCUACUUUUUAAGAUGUAAGGUACUGAAUGAUCGCUGUUCGCAAAUAUUCCUGACAACCAGUUAUUAUCAUGCAAGGAAUAUCUGUCGACCUCGCUCUCCAAUCCUUUUCAUAUUCAUCAAUAGUCUGAUAAUCAUAUACCAGUAUGUUUAUAGCAGAAAAGAUGUCUCCCUUAUCGAUGUGGUAUACAAACUUCUUUGGCAAUUUCUUCAAUAUGUGCCAUAAACAACAUCUGUGUUUUGUGUUUGAGAACACGAUUUGAAUUACAUUCUGCGUUGCCUUGUCUUGAUCGGUAAUAAUCCCAACAAGAGCUAGGUCAUUCAUACACUGAAGUCAAGUCUUGAAAAGCCAUACAAAUGUUUCUGUAUUUUCAUUCGACACCAACCCACAACCAAAUAGUAUUGACUGUCUAUGAUGAUUAACUUCAACAAACGAAGCAAACGGCAUGUCGUACUAUUGGUUAGGUACGUGGUAUCAAAUGUUACAACAUCGUUGAACUCCUUGCAUGCUUGCCUGUUCCUAUUUGCCCAAAAUAUAUUCUUCAACCGCAACUCCUUAUCUAAAUCCAUACUAAAGUAAAAACUUGAACACCUUGCUUGCAUGUUCGAAAAAUAGGCUUGCAUUGCUACGACAUCCCCCUCUCCAAGUCUUAACCUCCUCAAUUGUUCGACGUAGUUUUGACAAUCUUUUUUCACACAUGUCAUAUUCUCAUACCCCCUUCUUCGACAACUGCAGAGUUAUAACUUCUGUGCAACGGAAUCCCUGUCAUAUCGUUCACUUCAAGCCGUCAUUUAACAUGUGUACUAAACUCUCGGUUCAACGAUACAACCGAAUUUUGAAAGACUAGUUUUAUGAUUGAGAGUAAGAUUGACUGUGUUAAUUUUUCAUAUUCUACAUACAUCUACAAAUGUAGUCAUCCUGGUAUUGUAGCCUGUCUGAACGUUAGCUUGCGAUUUCAAAGAAACUCUCGUAGAACGACUUCUUCGCCCUUCACGGCUACAUAUAAACACAACAUAUCUCACAAUUCUAGCAUCAUCCUUCUGUGAAUUUCUUUUUUCUAUCUAAAAAUUCUGCAUUGUACGCAUAUCUUUUGUAAAAAUUAUACAAAUUUGUUUCAUCUUUGAACUUCAUCUCCACUUUAGGCACAAUCACACCGUCUACUCCUACAAUUCCAUCAUCCAAAAAUUUCUCACUGUCUAAAAUGUUGUCAUUUUCGAACUCUAAUAGAACCACAUCAUCCACCUCUUCCAAAAUUUCCUUGCUUGUAGUAAGAAAACCAAUUGCAAGGUUAGUUCUUCUUUCCCCGUAUUCGUCAAAUUUGGAACAAAAUACACAAUAAAUGUGUCAUCUCAAACAGGUAAAGAAACAUUUCAUCCAUACUAUUAGCAAAUAAAGACUCCAAGAAUGUUGAGUAAUACCAAUUGUAGCUACUACCAUAUUCUCUACACAUGGAAGGCAACAUUUAGGCUCUCCCCAAGUUAAGUGAAACAUUCAAUUAUUCUACGUUAUUACAGACAAGUGGGUGAAAAUAAGUUCAACAUUUAAGCUUUUCCCUAACUCAGUUAACUACAGUUUCACGAGAUGCUGAUUUGCUCGAAAUAUUAGUUUAACCUUUAAUUCAUUUUACCAAUUGCUUGAAAUAUUAGUUGAACAUAUAAGGCUUCUCCUACCUAAGUUCCCCUCUGUUAAGUGUAGUUUCACGAGAUGUUGAUUUGCUCGAAAUAUUAGUUUGACAUUUAAUUCAUUUUACCAAUUGCUUGAAAUUUUGCUCGAAAAAUUAGUUGAACAUUUAAGAAGGCAAAUACCGUUGUCCGUCAUCUACUCCAAUCAAUGAAGCCGGUGACUUCAAGCCGGAAAUGACAAGCUCCAGACACAGCUAAAUCUUUCAAAUCGGAACCGGAGAAAGCUUCAGUCAGGGGUCUUGGUUGUUACACCAGAGACUGUUUCAAGUCGAGGGUCCAAUUUCAACGGCGGAGGAAAGGCGAAAAUGG